rnacentral:rRNA from 1 species
GUAGGUGGCAAGCGUUGUCCGGAAUUAUUGGGCGUAAAGCGCGCGCAGGUGGUUCUUUAAGUCUGAUGUGAAAGCCCCCGGCUCAACCGGGGAGGGUCAUUGGAAACUGGGGAACUUGAGUGCAGGAGAGGAAAGUGGAAUUCCACGUGUAGCGGUGAAAUGCGUAGAUAUGUGGAGGAACACCAGUGGCGAAGGCGACUCUCUGGCCUGUAACUGACACUGAGGCGCGAAAGCGUGGGGAGCAAACAGGGAUUAGAUACCCUGGUAGUCCACGCCGUAAACGAUGAGUGCUAAGUGUUGGGGGGGCUUCCGCCCCCUCAGUGCUGCAGCUAACGCAUUAAGCACUCCGCCUGGGAGUACGGUCGCAAGACUG